rnacentral:rRNA from 1 species
AGACGAACCGUACAAACGUUAUUCGGAAUUACUGGGCUUAAAGGGUGCGUAGGCGGCUUGGAAAGUUGGGUGUGAAAGCCCUCGGCUCAACCGAGGAAUGGCGCCCAAAACUGCCAGGCUUGAGGGAGACAGAGGUGAGUGGAACUUAGGGUGGAGCGGUGAAAUGCGUUGAUAUCCUAAGGAACACCAGUGGCGAAAGCGACUCACUGGGUCUCUUCUGACGCUGAGGCACGAAAGCUAGGGGAGCGAACGGGAUUAGAAACCCCGGUAGUCC